UGGGGAAUUUUACGCAAUGGGCGAAAGCCUGACGUAGCGACACCGCGUGAGCGAAGAAGCCCUUUGGGGUGUAAAGCUCUGUCAGUGGGGAAGAAAAAAAUGACGGUACCCACAGAGGAAGCAUCGGCUAACUACGUGCCAGCAGCCGCGGUAAGACGUAGGAUGCGAGCGUUGUCCGGAUUUAUUGGGCGUAAAGAGUUCGUAGGCGGUUUGUUAAGUCUGAUGUUAAAAACUGAGGCUCAACCUCGGGACUGCAUUGGAUACUGGCAAGCUGGAGUACAGUAGAGGCAAGUGGAAUUUCCAGUGUAGCGGUGAAAUGCGUAGAUAUUGGGAAGAACACCAGUGGCGUAAGCGACUUGCUGGGCUGUAACUGACGCUGAGGAACGAAAGCCAGGGUAGCGAAUGGG
rnacentral:rRNA from 1 species